CCCCUUCCUUCAAGCUUAUUUAUUGACUAUAAAUAUUUUGCUGGGUUUUCCCAGAUAUAGUGAUAAACGUUCUACAUAAUAAACGAUGCGGACCCGGGGGCGGUACCCGGCACCUCCACCAAAUUUAUUUGGUCUUUAGUAUGAAGUUUUUAGGGGGGUGAAAUAGGAUCGACGCGCGCGUAAAGGUUUAACUUUCACUCGGCAUGGUACCGUCGUUAUCGGGCCAUUACUAUAGGUGCCAACGAUAAUGUUGAGCCCACCGCUGUUGCCGCCUAAUAAGCGUCGAUAAGCGCGGUUCGGGGGGCACCGGGCAACAGAAGCCCCCCACU
rnacentral:tmRNA from 1 species